UUUACGGAAGGAUAGCCCAGAGAAUUUUGGAUUAGUACCUCGUAGUAUUACCACUCGGUCUCGAUAUGUAUUUAAUGUCACCGCGGUAAAAUAUGAGCGUGCCUCCCUUUAUCUAUGUGGUAGGGUAACGGCUUACCAAGGCUACUAUGGGUAGGGGUCCUGAGAGGGAUAUCCCCCACUGUGGCUGUGAGACACAGACCACACUCCUACGGGAGGCAGCAGUGAAGAAUAGUGGUCAGUGGGCGCGAGCCUGAACCACCCGUGCCGCGUGCAAGAUGACGGCCCUAUGGAGUGUACAGUGCUUUUGUACGAGAAGAAACUUCUCUACGUGUAAAGACGUGACGGUACUGUAAGAAUAGAGAUCGGCUAUCUCCGUGCCAGCACCCGCGGUAAUACAGAAGAUCCGAGCGUUAUCCAGAAUCAUUGGGUUUAAAGGGUCCGUACGCGGUUUUGUAACUCAGUGGUGAAAGCCCAUCUCUCAACGGUGGAACGGCCAUUGAUACUGCAAGACUUGAAUUAUUGGGAAGCAACCAGAAUAUGUAGUGUAGCGGUGAAGUGCUUAUAGAUUACGUGGAAUACCUUUUGCGAACGCGGGUUGCUACCAAUAUAUUGACUCUGAUGGACGAAAGCGUGGGGAGCGAACAAGAUUAU
rnacentral:rRNA from 1 species